rnacentral:misc_RNA from 1 species
CUAGGUUGUUGAAUUGGCGACAAAGGCAGCCAUUACGAUUGCAGAACGAGCGUCGGAGUGCAUUGGAGUUUCGAGGAGUCAUCGUCCAAGGAUUUCGUUGCUACUGGGGAUUGACUGUUAGUUCAAAUCUGUUUAAAACCUCUUCAACAGCGUUCAGCGUACAAUAAUUCACCGUUUUUUCGUUGACCUUAGGCGGUUCAGUGUGUGUUAGGUGGUUAAGGAGCAGGUACAGCCGUCGUCAACACAUCAGCAGUGUAUCGUGUCAAUGACGUGACAUGAAUCAUCGCAGGUGACCACUGCAGUUGUUGCUGCUGCUCCUGGUGUUGCUGCUGCUUCUAUUCUGCUCGCUACGUUUCAUUGCCCUCUUCCACUGAUGGGCCAUUCGAUGUGGUUGGUCCUAUUUGUUCUCAGCAACAACAACCACACAACUUCUUAGCGUUCAUCGCGAAACCUUUUAGCUGCCCAAGGACUACGUCCAAGGAAGAGAAUAUUACAGUGAAGAAGAGUAUUCUGUGAGAAGACUCCAGAAUGACGAAUGCGCGUUGCCCCGAACUCCGGAUACUCGCUCUUGCCGUUACAAGUGCGAAGCCCCGGAAGUUGAGGAGAAACCGAUCCGGUGAUUCCUGUUCGUCAACUUGGUCCUCGUGUUGACAAGAGAACAUCGUCCCGAUCAACGAUGAUGGGGAAUUCUGAAUAGACAAUCCGUUGAUCGUCGGAUAUCGAAAUUAGCUCGUUUCGAGAACUUUGCUUAACAUUUAAAUUUCAC